rnacentral:lncRNA from 1 species
AGAAAAAUGUAACCCUGCUCCUCAUGGUUAACACGGAUUGUUUCUUUCUCAGCUUUUAAUCUGGUCACUGGAAGGGGAUUUUAUAGUCCUUGAAAAAGAGGAGUGAUAAUUUACAUCAAGAGAGAAAUGUGGAAUUUGAAGGGCUUUAGCUUUCAGAGGAGCAAUUCAAGUGGCAAGAAGCCAGUCGUGAGGGAGCUAUCUGUGGGGAAAGCUGCACCCCAACAUGGAAAGGAGACCCCAGGUGCAGAAAACAGAACAUAGGUGAGCCCGCACAUCCACCAGGGCUUCUAAUUCAGCAAAACUUCUCCCAG